GGGGAAUAUUGCGCAAUGGGGGAAACCCUGACGCAGCAACGCCGCGUGGGCGACGAAGGUCUUCGGAUCGUAAAGCCCUGUCUUCUGGGACGAUAAUGACGGUACCAGAGGAGGAAGCCACGGCUAACUACGUGCCAGCAGCCGCGGUAAUACGUAGGUGGCAAGCGUUGUCCGGAUUUACUGGGCGUAAAGGGUGCGUAGGCGGAUAUUUAAGUGGGAUGUGAAAUACCUGAGCUCAACUCGGGUGCUGCAUUCCAAACUGGAUAUCUAGAGUGCAGGAGAGGAGAAUGGAAUUCCUAGUGUAGCGGUGAAAUGCGUAGAGAUUAGGAAGAACACCAGUGGCGAAGGCGAUUCUCUGGACUGUAACUGACGCUGAGGCACGAAAGCGUGGGUAGCAAAC
rnacentral:rRNA from 1 species